AAGACUAUAGACCUGCGGAGUACCUGCGGAGGGAUCAUUACUGUGUAUAACCGAGGGCCGCUCGACGGCCCUCAAAAACACACCUUAUCACACCGUGAACCGUGGCUUCGGCCCAAACUGUUUCAUGUACCGAGAAUGUAUCCAUUAGGAAAAAAGAAAAUGACAAAACUUUUAGCAAUGGAUCUCU
rnacentral:misc_RNA from 1 species